rnacentral:misc_RNA from 1 species
UACGAAGGGUGCGAGCGUUGUUCGGAAUUAUUGGGCGUAAAGCGCGCGUAGGCGGCUCUUUAAGUCUUUCGGUGAAAUGCCGGGGCUCAACCCCGUGCCUGCCGGAGAUACUGGGGAGCUGGAGACAGGUAGAGGCGAGUGGAAUUCCGGGUGUAGCGGUGGAAUGCGUAGAGAUCCGGAAGAACACCAGAGGCGAAGGCGGCUCGCUGGACCUGGUCUGACGCUGAGGUGCGAAAGCGUGGGGAGCGAACAGG